GAUUGGGCGGCUGGGAGGCAGUGUCUUGUUAGCUGAUUGGUUUGUUUUACCAGCUUACCUGGUACUGCCCUCUAGCUGUCCAUGUA
rnacentral:pre_miRNA from 1 species